rnacentral:rRNA from 1 species
UAAUACGUAGGUGGCAAGCGUUGUCCGGAUUUAUUGGGCGUAAAGCGAGCGCAGGCGGUUUCUUAGGUCUGAUGUGAAAGCCUUCGGCUUAACCGGAGAAGUGCACCGGAAACCAGGAGACUUGAGUGCAGAAGAGGACAGUGGAACUCCAUGUGUAGCGGUGAAAUGCGUAGAUAUAUGGAAGAACACCAGUGGCGAAGGCGGCUGUCUGGUCUGUAACUGACGCUGAGGCUCGAAAGCAUGGGUAGCGAACAGGAUUAGAUACCCUGGUAGUCCAUGCCGUAAACGAUGAGUGCUAAGUGUUGGAGGGUUUCCGCCCUUCAGUGCUGCAGCUAACGCAUUAAGCACUCCGCCUGGGGAGUACGACCGCAAGGUUGAAACUCAAAGGAAUUGACGGGGGCCCGCACAAGCGGUGGAGCAUGUGGUUUAAUUCGAUGCUACGCGAAGAACCUUACCAGGUCUUGACAUCUUCUGCCAACCUAAGAGAUUAGGCGUUCCCUUCGGGGACAGAAUGACAGGUGGUGCAUGGUUGUCGUCAGCUCGUGUCGUGAGAUGUUGGGUUAAGUCCCGCAACGAGCGCAACCCUUAUUGUUAGUUGCCAGCAUUUAGUUGGGCACUCUAGCAAGACUGCCGGUGACAAACCGGAGGAAGGUGGGGAUGACGUCAAAUCAUCAUGCCCCUUAUGACCUGGGCUACACACGUGCUACAAUGGACGGUACAACGAGUCGCGAAACCGCGAGGUCAAGCUAAUCUCUUAAAGCCGUUCUCAGUUCGGAUUGCAGGCUGCAACUCGCCUGCAUGAAGUUGGAAUCGCUAGUAAUCGUGGAUCAGCAUGCCACGGUGAAUACGUUCCCGGGCCUUGUACACACCGCCCGUCACACCAUGAGAGUUUGUAACACCCAAAGCCGGUGAGGUAACCUUCGGGGACCAGCCGUCUAAGGUGGGACAGAUGAUUAGGGUG